AAGAGGGGAAAAGAAAAGAGAAAAAGGGAGAAAAAAAAAUUAAAACCCUAGCCGCCGCACGCCGCCGCCGCCGCGAACCCAAGCCGCCAAGCCUUCCCCUUUCUGUUCAGCAGCGCAGCCGAGUCUGCAGUCCACCCGAGCCGUCGCCGAGCUUCCAGCCACGUCGGAAGAUUCGUCCAAGCUGAUCCGCGCACGCCGAGCGUCCGCCGGUGCAGCCCGUCUCUCGCAGCCGUCGCCCGAAGCCGAGCCUGCGUCACCCUUCGCGAUCCGCAGCCGAUUCGUCAGCCAGCCGUGUCGCGCCGCUUCGAUCUGACGCAGCGUAGCCGUCGCCGAGCGAAGCCGUGGUGUAGCCAGACUACCCGCAGCCGUCGCGCCACCCGAAUCCGGAAGCUAGCACCUCGUUGCGCGAGGACCCGACCCGACCGAAGCCCCCGCUCCGUGACCCGAAGCCCGGCCCGUGCCGCGUGCCUCCGACUCGGAACCCAAACUGCGUGCACCCGUGAGCCGAGCAGUGCCCGCGUGCGAGCCGCACGUGCGUAGCCUCUAUACCGAGCCGAGCCGCGUCUGUCUGCACCAAGAGCCGCGCCUGUCUGCGUCGCGAGCCGAGCCGAUCUUCAACCUCCAAGCCGAGCCGGUCCCUGUCCUUUUUCCAGCCGAGCCGCCAAGCCUAAUUUGACUCCUUCCAUCCAAUUUUUGGGACGUCUUGGACCAAGUAACUGCUGCAGCGUGGGAUUUCUUCAGUAGGGGCUCAAGCAUUGCAACCUCUUUCUAGGUUAGGACCUCGUUGCUUGGAAAGCACACUUGCCUCGCGGUUAGAACUCGCCAAGUAAAUCUUCAGG